GCCUAACACAUGCAAGUCGAACGGUAAAGUGGGUUAGAGAGUGUUCUGGGGGCGAACGGGGGCGAAUCUGUUACGACACUCCCUUCUACACAGGGAAAGCAUUGGGAAACCGGUGCUAAUCCCGCAUAUUGAAGCUUAAUUGACAUGGGGAACAUCUAUUCAAAGAAAAGUGAAUUAGUUUCAAACGCCCAAC
rnacentral:rRNA from 1 species